CGCGCGCACGCACACACACCUGUUCUUCUCCAGUUUGUUGUGGACUUCUCUGGUUCCGAUCCUGAAACCCAGACAGGAAGGAAGUUGAGGGAGGAGGGCCCAAUUAGGUGGUCUUCUGCCCCCUGCUCCCCACAUUCUGUACAAAGCAGCAGUGGGAGAUGUUCAGCCUGUGUAGAGGCACAUACAGCCCCUGGACGGCACGCGUAUGCUCAUAAAUCACAAUCCCUUUAACCCUCCAUCUUGCCCUUGUCCACCUGUGAGGAAUCGGAGGGCCUCCUGGAGCUCACAGAAAUAGCCAGUUGACCCCAGCCCUCACCAAGAGGUCCUCAUUCCAAUACUCUCGCCAAAGGCCUGGAAAUGCCAAUGGGCCCAUCCCUGAGCAGGUCAGAGAACACAGAAGCCUGACAACAGAGGGCAACAGCCAUUACCCACUCCUGGGUGGGGAUGGGCACAGGCACAGACCUGUCCAAAUACGGAUAAGAUGCAUCUCAGGUGGGGAGGGAGGACAUGGCUUUGAAGAACUAGCUUAGGAGGGGCUACUUUCUUUUCCACAUGGAGCCCAGAAUGUGGGCAGUUCUCCAUCCCAUCAGCCCGGAUUCAGCCACACCUCACUCACCCCCCGGGCCUCUUCUUCUGUUCGCUGGAUUUGACUUCUUCGGCUGGUGCCAACUUCAGGGUCCCAAGAGUGGAUGGCGGUGGCUGCUGGGGAGCCAGCUGGGUCUGGACUCCAGGGCAGGGCAUGGGCCAGCCUGGCCAGGCUGCUGGCCUUCUUCUGCUCUUGCUCCCUCUCCCGCUCCAGGCGAAGCCGCUCCUGCUCCUCUACGCAGAGAGAACACAAGGGAUUUCUCAGUGGGCCAGCAGUCCUGGGCCCCAACUUCUGAAGUCUUCCACCAUAACACAUCUUCUGACUCUGUCCCAAUCAGUGCUCAGUGACAUGCCUGCUCAGCCUGAGAGACACCCAGCCAGGCACUUGGGCUAAGGGUUGGGAGCACAGCAGUGAAGAGUUUAAACACACCUGGUCUCUGCCUUUGGGGAGCUAGGCCUAGGGGGUGAGGGGAAGGACAAGUAACAUAGGAUAAGGAUCCAGGCUGGAGAGGAGAGGGGCUGUAGAAAAACAGAGCAGGAGGUUGGGGGCCUGGCAGCCUGAAGGUAGAGGGGUUAGACUGGGGCAGGGAGGUUCAGGAACAAGGCUGAGGGUACUGUGGUGACAGAUAAGCUGGGCAGAGGCCAGUCAGCAAAAGGCCUCACAGGCCAUCAUGGAAGAAUGGACUAGGGGUGGGACGGGGCGGCAGGCGAGGCGGGGGGGCUGUGCUGGACAGAUCAUGGCUUCUAGGGAAGGCCUUCAAUAGUAUUUACAAGUACCUUCCAGAGAGCAGGCAGCAUCUUCAUUUCAAGAUGAAAUAAAUUAGCUCAGAGAGGCAAUGAUUUGUUGAGGAUCACAGAGCAAGUCACAGGUAAAACUGAAACUAGACCCAGCCAGGAAUUCUGACACCUGGCGGAGCCUAUACCAGCUGUGUCAGCACGUGCUCACUAGGUGUCUGUCCACACACACACACAAACACACGCGCGCGCGCACCGCUGGGUCCCCACAAGAGUGCACGCCACAGGCAGGGCAGGGACAUCACCUUCAGUUCACACAUGAGGAAAUGAGGCCCAAGACUCCCAAGGUCUGGUUUCCUUAGGGACCCCACAAAACACAUUCGGUCCUUCUCUGACCUUUGUGGUCCUAUAACUUGUUACACCCAAAUGCCCCCGUGUCCCCACCAGCAGCAGCACAACCAGAAAGGUACGAGGCAGGCAGAAAGAAAAGAAAGGCAGCCUUGCACCUGUCAGUUCAGCAUCUCUCCUGAAAGCCCUGCUGCAAAGCAAGGCCUGCUCAGGACCUCCCUGAGCACACGGAAAGGGGGAGGGCCCUUCCUGAGCCAGAAGCAUCUCUCCACCUCCACCCUGCCCUGCACUCUCCAGGUCCCACAGUUCUGGUUCCCUGGCUCCAGCUGGGAAACCCCAGGCCUGGGAGCAGGCUGGUCAACCAGCCCUCCUGCCUGUCAGGGAUUGGCCACACCGCUGCUAACUGAUCUGACGCUGCUAGCUGCUAACUGAACGGACAGGUAGUUGGCAGACACGCCUCAAACAUACCACCCCACAAGGGGUGGGGCUGGAGGACCAGGUAGGCUCAGAGCCCCCUACGGAGGAGGGCAUCAACCCCCAGCGCCCCACGUGUCUCUGGGGCUCAGCCCUUAGGACCACCAACCACUGGAGUGUGAGCCAGGACUGCUCCAAGCCCUUCCCUCCCACAGGGGAGAAGAGGCAAAGGAGGAAGUAGAGAAAUGUGAGAGAGGAAGCACUCAGCGGUUUCCCAGCAGCCCUGGCCUCUUCCGUAGCUCCCCAGCCCUUCAGGAAGGGGAGCUGCCAGGCCUGCUCCAAGGAAAGGCCUUCUCUCCUGGGCCUUUCUGUGGCCCCCGCACUGGCUUAGGUUACAGGCCCAGAGAAAAACCAGCUCUCUGCCCUCCAGCUUCCCAGAGAGCACACUAGCCAAGAAGUCUGCGGAGUUCCUCCCGCCAGCUUCCCAGUCCAUCCCCCACAUUGCUCCCUAUCCCACCCCUCUACCCCCCUCCCACCCCAUCCCCAAGCAGCUCAGGGCCCGACACACAGCCCACCUUCAUGCUUCUGAGCUAGGACCCAAACUUUCACUGGCUUUGGGACCAGUGUUCCACUAUCCCAUUAGCAGUGGGACUGAGAAGGCCCCAAGCCCCAAGGACAGGUGUCCUGGGAACCCAAACUGAGAGAAAACCUCAUAGUCCCCAUAUGUUAAAGCAACUGUACAGCUCACCUAGGAGAUGGAAACCUCCUUCUCACCUACCCUCUCUCUUCCAGAGUCAGGCAGGUACACCUCACAGGUGCCAGGAAGGAGCCAGGUGAAUGGCCAAACUCUAUCACGCCUGGAUCGGCAUGAAAAAUCUUGACUGAUGGUGAAGAGGGGGUGUCCCAGGCCAGAUCCAGCCCACCAAAGCUUUCUGUCUCCUCCCCACCCAGCAGUGACCCUCUUCCAGUGCCCUGGGUAGGGGGAAACAAAGUGGGGGGGGGGGGGGCACGAACUGGCAGUCACUCAGGGGAUGCCCUCAGGAACAACAGAUUGAGGCUCUGUAAAAUUUGCUCUGCUGCACCCAUGGGUGCACUCCCUCUCCCACUCCCAAACACAUACAUACAUGCUCUGACACCUUCCUUGGGCUUCCCAGAGGCUGGCCCCGGAGAAUUUAGCAUGACCCGUCGGGUGAUUCAGGAGCCACAGGAGUCUACACUGGGUAGCCCCCAGUGUUCAGGAGGAACUCCCCCCUUCUUCAUGCUAACAGGAGACCUGGUUCAUCACAUGAGCAGUCCGGCUCCCUCUGGUUGGGAAACCCACCCUGGACACUGAAAGGGCAGUGUGGACAAGAGGAUCCCCAUUCAGAGCUGCUCCUUAGUGCGUUCGCAUCCUAUUAGGCGACGUCACCGGGCCGCGGGCCAAUGGGCGGGCAGGACAACACGGCAUGGAGCAGCUCCACAUGGACACCCCGCGCCGCCAGCCUUCUGUUUAAAGGGCCAGUGUCUAACACGGUCACAUUCGUGGAUAAGGAAACUGAGGCCCAGAGACCAGAGAGGACGUGUCUAAAGUCACUCAGUAUUCCACUUGCUGCAUUCCCCAGAGGGAGGAGUAUUUAUCUGAUCCGCUGGACGACUCUUUUGAAGGCAGUUCUGGAGCAGGGCAACCAAUUCGGAAAAAAAUCAUGGAGGAGCAUCAAACUGCCUGCAUGAGGCAGAGUUUGCCUACUUACCAUGUUGUAGUCGGUUUCUCAAAAUCUUCACCUAAAAUCCUGCUGUUCUGCUUGUUAGGUGCAGGCCACACAAGCCCCACUGGUGCAGUUGGCGGGGACACAGAGGCCCCCUGAAGGCACUCUGGUAGUACUGGAUGCCAGCAGUCCUAGGGCCCCUGGGUCCUAGCCUCAGAUUCUGCUACCAGUUCAGAGUGCGACCCGGCCAGUUGGGUUCAGGGUCCUGCAACUUGGGCUUCACCAUCAUACAAAGCUACAAAGCAAGACUUUUUGAGGACGGCUGAGUGGCAGACCAUCCUGCCGGUACAUCUCAUCACAGCCCAUUCCAUCCCCACUGUGCCCUUAGAGAGGUAUGUUCCUAUUUUGGAGUUUAGCUAGAAGCACAGAAAGCCGGUACAAACGCAGCCUGCUGGCUUUGCUCCUUUCCUUUGAGGGCAUAAUGCAUACUAAGGAAAGAGAAUCUGCACAGAUCUUGGAAAUCAGGAACCUAGUGAACAGAAGGAAGGGGGUGGUUUGCCAGCGGCAGUCUACAGAGGGCUCUGAUCUUUGCACAGUUAAUGCCCCAGAGUCUGUAGCUGAGCAGAGAGGCAGUUGCUCACGUCCAGGUGCCACUAGCUUGGCUUAUGAUGGAGCUGUAAAGGAAGGUGUGGGAACAACAUAGCCCAGGUGCCCUUUCCCUGGGACAGAGAGAUCUGUGCUGGUUAUUUUAGAUAUCUGCCGCCUGCUACUAGUGUGGCUGGGCCUGGCCCUCUGCACAACCAAAGAACAGGACAGUUUAAAGGCAAUACCAGAUGUGUGUGUUGGGGUGGGGUGCUAAACAGGGUAUGUAAUAUACAUAAUAGCCACCUGAAAUCAUGUUGUUGACCAUAUUUUCAUUGUUUGGGAUCAGCACUGUGUACUCUGUCAUGGCCCAAGAUUCUCAGAGAACUCCAUCCAGCUGUACCUUCUGCCUUCCUCAAGUGCUCAUAGCACUCACAUAGCCCUGAAGUCUUGUAGAGGCUGAAGUCCAAUUUUUGACUCUUCUUGUCAGAUGCCAGCUCUAUUCCAUUAAAAAGGCACUCCUCUGAAAGGGAGCAUUCCAAAGACACUUUUUAUUUCGGGAGUGGGUAAGCAAGAGAUAAAAGUGGGGUGAACAGAGUCAAAUGGCAGCCUCUCCCUUGCCCCCAAUACCCCAUCUGCUCCAGAGCUUAGUGGAGAUGCUUGCUAUUUAAAACAAACAGCCUUACUGGCUUCACAUGAUCAUCUGUUUAUUUGGGUCAUGUGGGGACAGCAGCCAGGGGAUGUUAGGCAAAAGUAAGGGUUUAGAAAAUAAGCUUUUUUUUCUGAGCCUGUUGUUGCCUACAGGAGCCUAAAAAUGGCUGAACAGAAUUUCUUACCAGUCAGGGUUUCCCCAACUGGGGAAUGGGCAGUUGGGAGACUUAACAGUGGGGGUGUAAGCGGAGAGAGCAAUGAAUAGAGAGCCAUUUAACAUUUUAGCCCCAGCUUCUUGUUCCAAAGGGAUGGAACUAGGGUAGAAGCUGGCAACUGUAUUCAUUCAAAGGAAAGCGAAAAGAAGUCUUCUGAUGUUUCAGCAGAAAGGUGAGCACUUUGUGGGAAUGAUCCAAAGCCCGGCCAUCUCCAAAAAGUUAUACCUGAAGUUCUAUUUUAUGCUUCUAGGUGCUUAGGACCUUUGGAGCGGGAAGACACCUGGGCCACUCAUCAUUGUGUACUUGCUCAUUAAAGGAUUUCUAUUUCA